UACGUAGGGGGCAAGCGUUGUCCGGAUUUAUUGGGCGUAAAGAGCGUGUAGGCGGCUAGAUAGGUCCGUUGUGAAAACUCGAGGCUCAACCUCGAGACGUCGAUGGAAACCAUCUGGCUAGAGUCCGGAAGAGGAGAGUGGAAUUCCUGGUGUAGCGGUGAAAUGCGCAGAUAUCAGGAAGAACACCCGUGGCGAAGGCGGCUCUCUGGUACGUGACUGACGCUGAGACGCGAAAGCGUGGGGAGCGAACAGG
rnacentral:rRNA from 1 species